AUUGAACGCUGGCGGCAUGCUUUACACAUGCCAGUCGAACGGCAGCGCGGGCUUCGGCCUGGCGGCGAGUGGCGAACGGGUGAGUAAUACAUCGGAACGUGCCCAGUAGUGGGGGAUAGCUCGGCGAAAGCCGGAUUAAUACCGCAUACGACCUGAGGGUGAAAGCGGGGGAUCUUCGGACCUCGCGCUAUUGGAGCGGCCGAUGGCAGAUUAGCUAGUUGGUGGGGUAAAGGCCUACCAAGGCGACGAUCUGUAGCUGGUCUGAGAGGACGACCAGCCACACUGGGACUGAGACACGGCCCAGACUCCUACGGGAGGCAGCAGUGGGGAAUUUUGGACAAUGGGCGAAAGCCUGAUCCAGCAAUGCCGCGUGUGUGAUGAAGGCCUUCGGGUUGUAAAGCACUUUUGGCGGGAACGAAAAGGACUGUGCCAAUACCACGGUUCGAUGACGGUACCCGCAGAAUAAGCACCGGCUAACUACG
rnacentral:rRNA from 1 species